rnacentral:rRNA from 1 species
AUACAUGCAGUCGAGCGGUCGGACGAGAAGCUUGCUUCUCUGAUGUUAGCGGCGGACGGGUGAGUAACACGUGGAUAACCUACCUAUAAGACUGGAAUAACUUCGGGAAACCGGAGCUAAUACCGGAUAAUAUUUUGAACCGCAUGGUUCAAAAGUGAAAGACGGUCUUGCUGUAUCUUAUAGAUGGAUCCGCGCUGCAUUAGCUAGUUGGUAAGGUAACGGCUUACCAAGGCAACGAUGCAUAGCCGACCUGAGAGGGUGAUCGGCCACGCUGGAACUGAGACACGGUCCAGACUCCUACGGGAGGCAACAGUAGGGAAUCUUCCGCAAUGGGCGAAAGCCUGACGGAGCAGCGCCGCGUGAGUGAUGAAGGUCUUCGGAUCGUCAACUCUGUUAUUAGGGAAGAACAUAUGUGUAAGUAACUGUGCACAUCUUGACGGUACCUAAUCAGAAAGCCACGGCUAACUACGUGCCAGCAGCCGCGGUAAUACGUACGUGGCAAGCGUUAUCCGGAAUUAUUGGGCGUAAAGCGCGCGUAGGCGGUUUUUUAAGUCUGAUGUGAAAGCCCACGGCUCACCCGUGGAGGGUCAUUGGAAACUGGAAAACUUGAGUGCAGAAGAGGAAAGUGGAAUUCCAUGUGUAUCGGUGAAAUGCGCAGAGAUAUGCAGGAACACCAGUGGCCAACGCGACUUUCUGGUCUGUAACUGACGCUGAUGUGCGAAAGCGUGGGGAUCAAAAAGAUUAGAUACCCUGGCAGUCCACGCCGUAAACUAUGAGUGCUAACUGUUGAGGAGUUUCCGCCCCAUAUUGCUGCUCUACGCAUAAGCACUCCGUCUGCCGAUAGGACAACCAGGUUGAAACUCAAGGAAUUGCAGGACCCGAAAGUGGUGUACCAUGCGAUUUAUUCAAGAACUGACAAACCUUACCAACUCUGGACUCCUA